GAUGAACGCUAGCGGCAGGCUUAACACAUGCAAGUCGAGGGGUAACAGGAAAAGCUUGCUUUUUUGCUGACGACCGGCGCACGGGUGCGUAACGCGUAUACAAUCUACCUUUUACAGGGGGAUAGCCUUUAGAAAUGAAGAUUAAUACCCCAUAGUAUCUAUGAAUCGCAUGGUUUAUGGAUUAAAAUUUCGGUGGUAAGAGAUGAGUAUGCGUCCUAUUAGCUAGUUGGUAUGGUAACGGCAUACCAAGGCGACGAUAGGUAGGGGCCCUGAGAGGGGGAUCCCCCACACUGGUACUGAGACACGGACCAGACUCCUACGGGAGGCAGCAGUGAGGAAUAUUGGACAAUGGGCGCAAGCCUGAUCCAGCCAUGCCGCGUGCAGGAAGACUGCCCUAUGGGUUGUAAACUGCUUUUAUAUGGGAAGAAACCCAGAUACGUGUAUCUGGCUGACGGUACCAUAAGAAUAAGCAUCGGCUAACUCCGUGCCAGCAG
rnacentral:rRNA from 1 species